GCCCAGGUGGCGGAAUUGGUAGACGCGCAGGCUUCAGGUGCCUGUGACCGCAAGGUCGUGGAAGUUCGAGUCUUCUCCUGGGCACCA
rnacentral:tRNA from 3 species